rnacentral:tRNA from 1 species
GCCAGCAUGGUGUAGUAGUUUGAGUGUUGGACUACAACUCUGAAGAUUGGGGUUCAAAUCCCUGUUUGGCC